AUUUUUUUAAAUCCUAUUUUUACCACUGGUGUAAUCAAGUAUGUAAUUUAGACAUUAAAAAUCGGAUUAUUUGUGUUCUAAUAUACCUAAUAAUAAUAUGUUCGAUAUACCAAAGUCGUCUGAAAAGUUUUGAGCCUCAAUAUGUCAUCAGUCGACGUCAGUGUUUUUGAAAAAAUCGAAUCUCGUGCCGUGAUUAAAUUCUUGCAUUUGAAAGGCAAAACGCUUGCGCGAAUUAAAGCCGAGUUGGACGCUGUUUAUGGGGACUUUGCCCCACCAUUUGCCAUCGUGAAAAGAUGAGCAGCUGAAUUUAAACGUGGUCGUAUCAGCUUGGCUGAUGAGCGUUCGGGACAGCCAACAACUGCGGCCACUACCGAUAACGUUGAAAAAAUUCACGAAAUCGUACUGAAUGACUGUCGAAUCAAAGUUAGAGAGAUAGCAGAGCAUAUCGAUAGAACGUGUUUAUUAACUGAAGACUUAGAUAUGCGUAACUGCGCAUUGGGUGCCGCGCUUGGUCACUGUGGACCAAAAACGCAUUCGAAUGAACAUUUCCAAGACUCUGUUGGAGCGGUUUAAGCGAAAUGAGUCGGAUUUUUUAUGUCGAUUAAUAACUGUUAAUGAAACUUGGAUCCACUACUUCACUUCUGAGACGAAGGAAUAGUCAAAACAGUGGAUUGCAAAGGGUGAACCUGCUUCGAAGAAGGCGAAGACAGUUUCAUCGACCGAGAAGGUGAUGGCAAUUUUUUGGGAUAGUCGUGGAAUCGUGUUCAUCUACUAUCCUAAAAAAGAUAAAAAAAUAUCAGGAGUGUACUACGCAUCAUUAAUUGACAAGCUGGAGGCAGAAAUUGCGAAAAAAACGGCCGCAUUUGAAGAAGAAAAUGCUGUUCCAUCAAGAUGACGCACCGUUUCACACUUCGCCGUUCGCCAAGGCAAAAAUUUACCAAUCGGGAUUCGAAUUGAUUGAUCACCCACCGUAUUCACCAGAUUUGGUCCCCAGCAACUUUUUCCUGUUUCCUAGGCUCAAAGUUUGGCUCGGAGGAUAGAGAUUUUUAUCAAAAGAGCAGGUCAUCGCAUCCGUAGAAGCCUAUUUUGCAGAGCAAGACGACAACUAUUAUUUG